GACGAACGCUGGCGGCGUGCUUAACACAUGCAAGUCGAACGGAAAGGCCCUGCUUUUGUGGGGUGCUCGAGUGGCGAACGGGUGAGUAACACGUGAGUAACCUGCCCUUGACUUUGGGAUAACUUCAGGAAACUGGGGCUAAUACCGGAUAGGAGCUCCUGCUGCAUGGUGGGGGUUGGAAAGUUUCGGCGGUUGGGGAUGGACUCGCGGCUUAUCAGCUUGUUGGUGGGGUAGUGGCUUACCAAGGCUUUGACGGGUAGCCGGCCUGAGAGGGUGACCGGCCACAUUGGGCCUGAGAUACGGCCCAGACUCCUACGGGAGGCAGUAGUGGGGAAUAUUGCACAAUGGGCGGAAGCCUGAUGCAGCAACGCCGCGUGCGGGAUGACGGCCUUCGGGUUGUAAACCGCUUUCGCCUGUGACGAAGCGUGAGUGACGGUAAUGGGUAAAGAAGCACCGGCUAACUACGUG
rnacentral:rRNA from 1 species